UCAGUUGGCUUAUAAUUGAAGUCUAGUAUGAAUGGGAACUCGGGGAUAUUCUGUCCUUUAUUUACGAUCAGAAAUUACUAAUUAAGUGAAAAUUCUUAAACCUUUAGAAAAAAGACGAGAAGACCCUAGAAAUUUUUUAUUAAAUAUUUUGUUGGGGCGACAAGGUAACAUAAAACUUACCUAUACAAUAGGAAAUUUUUUAAUUGGGUAAAUAAAUUACUCUAGGGAUAACAGCAUAAUAUUUUAAAGUUUGUGACCUCGAUGUUGGACUAGGAAAUACCCUACU
rnacentral:rRNA from 1 species